rnacentral:lncRNA from 1 species
GUUCAGCAGUCUCUGAGGGCUGCAGUCUCAGGGCACUGAUGAAAAGACCAGGGUCCCAGUGGCCCACAAACCCUCUGGAUUAGGGGCUUCAGCUCCAAGGACUGAGCCCUGAGCCAUGGCCUUCCUCCAUCAUGGCUUCCCUGGGAGGGCCUGGCAGGCACAUGGAGGCCUCGGGAGACCCCAGGAGCCCACAGUCCAAGGACUGAGCCCUGAGCCAUGGCCUUCCUCCAUCAUGGCUUCCCUGGGAGGGCCUGGCAGGCACAUGGAGGCCUCGGGAGACCCCAGGAGCCCACAGGUAUGGGUGCACCGUGGCAGGCGGCCACAGAGCCCACUGGGCUCUGCAGCUGGAAUAACUGAAUACGCAGCUCACUGUCCCCCAAGCUUGGUUGGGGACUCUUCCUUCAUAUUUUAACAAAAUCCACGGCACCUCUGGGAUGCCGGCGGCUGCUGCACACUGGGGACAAACAAGACAGAUGCAGACC